rnacentral:pre_miRNA from 1 species
AGUGGACUUGCUGGGUCAUAAGAUAGGUACAUAUAUUUAACUUUAUAACAAACUUCCAAGAAUUUUCCAAAGUACUGAAACUUUUGUAUUUCCUUCAGUAAU